rnacentral:rRNA from 1 species
UAGNGGAGAUNCAAUUCGGGANNNAAUCCAUGGGCUCAACCCAUGAACUGUUUUGAAANUGUUUCCUUGAGUNUNGAGAGGCAAGCGGAAUUNCUAGUGUAGCNGUGAAAUGNGUAGAUUUAGGAGGAACACCAGUGGCGAAGGCGGCUUGCUGGACGACAACUGACGNUGAGGCGCGAAAGCGUGGGAGCAAACAGGAUUAGAUACCCUGGUAGUCCACGCUGUAAACGAUGAAUACUAGGUGUGGGAGGACUGACCCCUUCCGUGCCGCAGUUAACACAAUAAGUAUUCCACCUGGGGAGUACGACCGCAAGGUUGAAACUCAAAGGAAUUGACGGGGGCCCGCACAAGCAGU